GAUGGUCAUCUUGCUAGGUUUCGGAGCCCUGUGGGCCUCUUCGCUGCUCGUCCUCGUCACCCUCUCUGCACCAGCAUCUCGCUUCCUUCUUGCUUCCAGUCAGGAUGGGAGGCUUCUAUUUAGGAGGCGCUCAUGGUACUAGGUCUCCAUAGACCUAGCCGUUUCAGAAUGGGAACAAGGGAACCAUUGGCUUCAGUCUUUCGUAAGAAUUGCCUUUGUGGAGCGCAUCUUGGAAGAGGUGGAGGCGUGCGGAUCGAGCCGGAUGGGGUGGCCACCGUGGCACGCGGGCGAAGGAGGAGCUCAAGGAGCAUGUCCCAGAAGAGGGCGUCAGCGGUGGCACGCCAAUCGACUCCACCGCAUCCUGGGCCUCGAGAUCUUCUCCGGCAAGACCAGGGGAGCUUCCAUGGCAAGAAACAUGGUCAAUGACUCCAGGGUGACGUGGAGCUCCAGGCCAAGGUAACGAGCAAAUUCUUCUUCGAGGUUGAGAUCGGCGGGAAGCGCGUGGGCAAGGUGGUCAUCGGGCUCUUCGGCGAGGUCGUCCCAAAGAUGAUUGACAACUUCCGUGCCCUGUGCACUGGAGAAAAAGGGGAUGUAUACAAGGGUUGCUUCUUCCACCGAAUCAUCAAAGGAUUUCAUGAUUCAGGGUGGGGAUUUUGCAGGAAAACAAUGUCUGAAGAGCAUUAGUGGCCUCUGUUCAGCUUUUUCUCUUCAUCUAUUCGGCAGCCGCUGUUGGUGGACAACGGCGGCCUGAGGUGGUGCAUGGUGGGUCCUGCCAAGUCACGGACACGAUAUCUCCCACGCAGGUGACUAGCGGCUGGGCAACGCCGCGGCCAUUGAGCCGAAGGUGGCUGAGCGCCAGAGCUCCCAGCUUAGGAAGACGACGCGACAGGAUGGCGCAGCACCACGGCCUUCAGCACCCUUGCCGUUAGCAGCCUGCCCCUGUCAUAAGUCCUUUCGUGACCUGUUGGUUCUUCUGUUCCAGGACGAGAUGGUCAUCUUGCUAGGUUUCGGUGCCCUGUGGGCCUCUUCGCCGCUCGUCCUUGUCACCCUCUCUGCACCAGCAUCUCGCUUCCUUCUUGCUUCCAGUCAGGAUGGGAGGCUUCUAUUUAGGAGGCGCUCAUGGUACUAGGUCUCCAUAGACCUGGCCGUUUCAGAAUGGGAACAAGGUAAUAACGCUCCUUAUGAAAAAAAACACAUAAUAUUGCUUUGGUUCUGUUAUAGCCACAUUUGUGUUAUGGCCAAAACAUACCAUUUCUUUGUUACAAGUAAGCUUCAUUUCCACCAUAAAAAACUACUUGUUUGGUAUGAAAAUGAAACCAUGAGCAGUAUAUCUCUCGAUGGGUGAAAUUUGGCAAAUGUAGCAAUUUCCUUGGUCGUGCAAAAUUUGUUCUUGGUGCUUGUGUAAUGAUGUUUAUUAAACUAUGGGAAAGAUAAGUACAACAUUGCAUUUUUAAAUAAAUGAUCAUGUAAAUAUCAAUAGCGGUGAAUUAAUGGCAAUCUGUUCUUUUACUUUAUUUAUCAAAACAGUCCAGUUCUAAGCUCGCUUCUACAUUAUAUGUAUAUUUAUACUUUUGUAUUAGAAACGAGAUUGGUUCUUUAGUUGAAGCCACAACAACUACUAAGACACCAAUAUUAGAUUGUACUAGCAUUUUCUUACCAUAUAUAGCUAAACAAAGAACUGGAUGCAGGAACCUUUAGCUUCAGUCUUUAGUAAGGUAUAAAAGGAGUUGAGCUGUCAUCAUACCGACCACACUCUUUUUAUGGUAGAGGGAAACCUUGUUGUUUUUCGUUACUCAAUUUCUAACUUAAUUAGCUGGAUUUAGAAUUGUUUGUUCAUCUAGCUAGGAGCAUAGUUUGCACUGCGCAUCGUUCAUGGUUUUGUGACUCAUGUUAUUUGGAUUGCAGUUGUCAAGGAGAUCCAUUUCCCCUUAUUUUGAGGCAAUUUAUUUUUGUGUGUGCUUUUAAUUGUUAUUUUAGUCAUCUGUUGUACCGUCUACUUAUGUAUACCCGCUUGACAAAACUGUAUGUUAUGUUCUGCAUUGCUAUUGCUGCCAUUGACUUCCACCUGUACCUAAGGGGCAAAACUGAAGAUCAAAUUAAGGCCGGUCAAUGAGGAUAAACCUUUUAUUCUUCGUGAUGUAAUAUUUUGAACUAUUUGUUUUGUGAUACUCAUAUGUACUACAUGGAUUUAUUGAACCAUCAUUAGAAAAAUCCUCCUAGAUCUA